rnacentral:lncRNA from 1 species
UUGUUGCUUUUUGAUAUGAUUUUCUUGCCUGAGUGUUGGCCGGAGGGACUGCUGGCCCGGCCUCCCUUCCGUCCAGGCAGCCGUGCUGCAGACAGACCUAGUGCCGAGGGAUGGACAGGCGAGGUGGCAGCGUGGAGGGCUCGGCGUGGAUGGCAGCCUCAGGACACACACCCCUGCCUCAAGGUGCAGAGGUGGCAGGGAUGGCUCCGAAGCCAGAAAUGCCUUAAACUGCAACGUCCCGUCCCUUCCCCACCCCCAUCCCAUCCCCACCCCCAGCCCCAGCCCAGUCCUCCUAGGAGCAGGACCCGAUGAAGCGGGCGGCGGUGGGGCUGGGUGCCGUGUUACUAACUCUAGUAUGUUUCUGUGUCAAUCGCUGUGAAAUAAAGUCUGAAAACUUUAAAAGCAUUGCUUUUGUC